CCGCUUUCGUUUCUACAACUUGUCGUAUAUUAGAGAGUGAUAGACGCAGCAUCAAAGUUUAGAUAUUUUUUUUAGAACCCACUUGUUUUGAGAGUCCCUUGAGUUUCCACUGUAAGGGUGGUUUUCCUUGCCCUUCCAGGCAGGGAAAAUCGCCCUCAACUUCUCUCAACUGGAUGUGGUCGCCCCUCCUCAUAUCUGGUGGAGUUGUAUAGUUUUUGUUCUUCUGGUGGAGGAGCUUGGAUUUAAGAGAGGACUGUUUAUUUUUCUCCUUUUUUAUUGAUUGAUGUAUAUUUAAAAUUUUUUUCUUAGAUCUGUGUUUGUUAUGUUCAGGUGGUGCAGGAGUCUCGCGAUUUGGGAGUAGUGACUUUCUCUGUGCAGGUCAUCGCUGAGAUGAGGCUCAUAUUCAUGGUAGUGGUGAGAGUGCAAAUUAACUAAGGAGGAUUUGUCCUUUGGUUCCGGUGAGCUACGAAGCUUGAAGUCCUGCACCUCAUGGUUAUAAAAGACUGAAAUGCCAUGGCUUUGCUCUUUCUUUCUCUUAGAGUCCAAGUUCUGCCUGUUGCUGCCACUGGAGAUGUU
rnacentral:misc_RNA from 1 species